rnacentral:lncRNA from 1 species
AUGAAUAAAUGAAUGGUAUUUUUUCUGUAAUCAAAUGGACUAACCAAACUGUCCAUGUCUGAUUCUGCCAAAAUUGUGUAGACAAUACCUGUAAGUAAGAGUUGGAAAAAUAGCUAUUCUGUUUGUAAAUGUUUUGUUUCUUUAAUUUGUGUGCUUCAUUUCUGGCUAUUUUUUGACAGGGAGAGUGAGAAACAAGGCCUUUUGCCCAUCUCUUUUCCAGCUGUUCAUAGCAUGUCCUUACUGCCUUGCCCUCACCCUGACCCCAGACAAAUUGUGAAAAUAAUACCAUUUUCGAAGUCGAAGAGGACUCAGAGGUCAUAGGAUUCAAGUCUUCACUGGACAGACUUGGAAAUUGACACCCACAGAGAAGAUUGAAAUUGGCUGACAGAUCUCAUCUUUUCUGGAGGGGAAAACUUGUCCAGAGCUUGGUUGCUUCCCAAGAGAGUGAGCACUGGUAAGCUCCCAGAGAGGGACCUCUGCAGAGCUGGGGUUCUG